rnacentral:lncRNA from 1 species
CCCAGGCCUCCAUGCUGUCGGGGAGAUGCUGCAAUCGAUCCGCUGGAAAUAACUUCACCUUGAUGUUUAACUGACUCAUGGCUUUUGCAUUUCCAGGCAGCACAAUCAUAUUAGCAGCCCCGUAACCCAAUUAUGGCCAUGCACCCAGCUGAAACUUCUCAACGCAAAAGGGGACAGUGGAGCCCAGUCAGCCGCAUUCCUGCCUCCUCUUAGAAAAAUUACUGGUGGCAUGAAAUCUUUACUCUAUUAAUAGAGAUCUUCUGCACGCUGACAAUAGCAGCUCAUAAAAAAAAAAGAAAAGAAAAAAGAAAGAAAGCAAGCAGCUACCUGGGUUCUGAGGGAUAAAACCAGAAUUUUAUCACAGUAGCUCAGCCCCUGGCUUACCUGGGGCUGCUGGUACUAAAAAGAUGAGGAGCUUUUGCCUUUCAAAGGCAUGAACUUGAAAGUCACUCACUGUGUCUGUGGUAACGGUAUUAAGAGGUUUGAAAAGCAAGUGAGCGUCAAAGACGAAGGUGACGGAGCUAUGCAACAGGAAAAACUAAAUAUUUCUCCAGGACUGAGAUGAACUUAGUGCGUGAUUGGAUCCUAACCAUCCUCACAAGGUCGCAAAGGGGAGGGGACGACUUGACUUUUUUAUAAGCAGGUAAGCAGGGCCUGAGGCACCCAAUAACCUUCACUCAAAGUCACAGGGCAACCAGAGCCAAGCCUUCGCCCAACCUCACCACAGGUGUGAACUCUCCAUCCUGAACGCAUACCAUCUCCCCUUGCCCGCUAAAAUCACCCCUCCUGAGGAGGAAUAAAUUGGACAUCAAGCCUCACACACGGAACACCUGCCCUGGGCACCAGUGUUUGAAAACAGCCCUGUCAUCAGCUCCAUUUUCUGGGGGGCUCCUUCUGUAACUUCCUCUGUCAGCCAUGUCCCAUUGUGAGAGGGAAAAGACACUGAUGAAUCUGUAGGGGAUCUGGACGCUGUGCCAUUUUAUGGUGUGUGUGUUUAAAUAGCUCUUGCUCCCUAAUUUCAUGUUGCUUAGGGUUAUGUUAAAAUUAGUAUGUUCAGGAAAUCACAAUGAGGAAAGGUGGCCCAGAAACCUUUUUUAGAUAGCAAGGAGAACGGUGGCCUGCUUUUAGUUUUGUGCAUGUGGAUAGACUACAAAGUGAAUGGGAAUUGACAAAAUCUGUAUUUUCCUACUAUCUUUUCUUGCUUGUGCCUAGUAGCCCUCAGAAAAAUGGGCUCAAUGCAGGGGUUUCUCUGGAGCACCUCAGCUUCAGCCUUCUCCUGUCUGGGCUACCUUACCCCGGAUUCCUCAACAGUUCCUAAAGGGUUUUAAUGGUGGUGCUUUCUUGUUAAUGACUAGACCUCGAGUUCACAAAGCUCAUCAUCCUCUCCAGGUCACAACAAAUAAUUUCAUUGUUGUGUCCAAGGCUCUUCACAUUCCCUUUCAUUCUCCCUUCCUGCUCCCGCCUAUGGGGACCCACUCAAAUGGUUUUUCACUGAAGAACAUCUCACAGUUUUUUUGUGAAUGUCUGUGCUCAUGUAAGAGUAAUGUUGGGCUAUGCAUCUCACUUUUUCAUGCAACAUGAAAUCUUUUAAAGAUCUUGUCACUAGGCUGGGCAUGGUGGCUCACGCCUGUAAUCCCAGCACUUUGGGAGGCUGAGGCAGGUGGAUCACCUGAGUUCGAGACCAGCCUGGCCAACACGGCAAAACCCCAUCUCUACUAAAAAUACAAAAAUUAGCUGGGCAUGGCGGCAUGCGCCUGUAGUCCCAGCUAGUCGGGAGAAUGAGGCAGGAGAAUUGCUUGAACCCGGGAGGCCGAGGUUGCAGUGAGCCGAGAUUGCGCCACUGCACUGCAGCCUGGGUGACAGAGCGAGACUUCAUCUAAAAAAAAAAAAUCUUGUCACUAAAUCUAGUUCGUGGUUUCUAACUUCCACUACGUCCACCCCACUGUAUCCCACUCUGCCACUUACCAGCUGUGUGAUCUUGAGCAAAUUACUUAACUGCUCAGUGCCUCAGAUUCCUGAUAUAUAAAAUGAGACAGUAGGAGUGUCUACACUGCAGGGUGGUUAUGAGGAUUAAAUGAAUUUUGAAUGUAUGUAUCUGAAAAGCAUUGAGAAAUCCUUUGCACAUAAGUGCUCAAAAAAGAACAACCCUAGCUGACAUUGUUAUCAUUACUUCUCCAUUCCCCUGGUGAAGGGUAUGUCUGUCAGAGCUCUCUGCUACUGCAAACAAUACUGCAAUGGGCAUCCUCUUAUAAUCGUCCAAAGGCUAUGAAUUCACAGGAGGCUAACUAAUGUAUGAAGGGAUGCUAACCUCACUAUUGAUCAAAGACACACAACACAAAACAAGAGGCCACUUUCCAUCCAUCAGAUUAGCAGCCAGUGGGAAGUGAGCUACCACCAAGCACUGGAGAGGAUGUGGGGAGCGGGAUCUCUGAUGACUGCCGCUGGGACUGCUGUAAAUUGCACAUCCUGGAGAGCAGUAUGGCAUUUCCUGUGAAGCCAUUUACAUACUCUGUAAAUCAGCAAUCCCACUGCUAGGUCUGUGUCCCAGAGAAAUCUAUGGGCGAUUAUAAGAGGAUGGCCAUUUCUUCUGGGAAUAGGACGAUCCCUUUCACCUGUUGAUUCAAUGUUCCUGCUCUAUUUUUAAUCCAUUUCCACACUUUCACCACCUCAUUUCAUGUGUUGAGUCCCAAGUGACUGCAUUGCUUUUUUCAAAACAAAACAAAAAACAACAAAACGAAGACCACAAAAAAAGAAUUUUUUCUUGGAGCUAGAGUCCAAUUUGGAUCACAUGACCAGGCCAUAAAGAUGAGCACCUAGAAUGGAAGGCCAGACAGGCACCGAGGCCUGCAGCCUCUUGCCCAGAGAGCCUUUCUCACCUCUCCUGUUGCUGCUCUCCAGCCCCAUCGGCCUCCUGAGCUGUCUCCUCCCUCCAGCCCUUCCUGCCUGGGCUGGGCAGAUUUCCCUCUUGGGAGUCUCAGGUACUGCCCACUGCCUUGGGAUCACAUGCUUUGCAUGUCAUCUCCUCUGCAUUCUGACCCUGCUUUUGUCUUUCCCCAGUGGAAUUCCCUGAACCAUUAUUUCAAAGUGUUUCCAUUCUGCCCAAACAAGAGAGUUAAGUUCCUUGAGCGUGUAUCUUACUCUGCAGUCGGCCAAUGCCGAAUGGCAGAAUCACAGUCCUGGGUUCACCUG